GACGAACGCUGGCGGCGUGCCUAAUACAUGCAAGUCGAGCGGACGGAUGGGAGCUUGCUCCCAGACCGUCAGCGGCGGACGGGUGAGUAACACGUGGGCAUCCUGCCUGUAAGACUGGGAUAACUCCGGGAAACCGGGGCUAAUACCGGAUAACUCUUUCCCUCACAUGAGGGAAAGCUGAAAGAUGGCAUCUCGCUAUCACUUACAGAUGGGCCCGCGGCGCAUUAGCUAGUUGGUAAGGUAACGGCUCACCAAGGCGACGAUGCGUAGCCGACCUGAGAGGGUGAUCGGCCACACUGGGACUGAGACACGGCCCAGACUCCUACGGGAGGCAGCAGUAGGGAAUCUUCCGCAAUGGACGAAAGUCUGACGGAGCAACGCCGCGUGAGUGAUGAAGGUUUUCGGAUCGUAAAACUCUGUUGUCAGAGAAGAACAAGUACCGGAGUAACUGCCGGUACCUUGACGGUACCUGACCAGAAAGCCACGGCUAACUACGUG
rnacentral:rRNA from 1 species